UACGUAGGUGACAAUCGUUGUCCGGAUUUACUGGGCGUAAAGAGCGCGCAGGCGGUCGAUCAAGUCGAGUGUGAAAGCCCCCGGCUCAACUGGGGAGGGUCAUUCGAUACUGAUCGACUCGAAGGCAGGAGAGGGUAGUGGAAUUCCCGGUGUAGUGGUGAAAUGCGUAGAUAUCGGGAGGAACACCAGUGGCGAAGGCGACUACCUGGCCUGUUCUUGACGCUGAGGCGCGAAAGCUAGGGGAGCAAACGGG
rnacentral:rRNA from 1 species